ACGUAGGGUCCAAGCGUUGUCCGGAUUUACUGGGCGUAAAGAGCGCGUAGGCGGCUCGUUAAGUGUGAAGUGAAAUCUCCAGGGCUCAACCCGGAAAUUGCUUCGCAUACUGGCGAGCUGGAGUGACGAAGAGGUUUGUGGAAUUCCUGGUGUAGCGGUGAAAUGCGUUGAUAUCAUCAGGAACACCGGAGGCGAAGGCGGCUCACUGGGGCUUUUCUGACGCUGAGGAACGAAAGCCAGGGGAGCGAACGGGA
rnacentral:rRNA from 1 species